GGGUCGAUGGCAAAGUCGGUAUCGCGUCUGUCUGCCAUGCUGGUUUUUGUAACUCCACAGCGGUAAACAGAGGAUCCCAGUUCGAAUCUGGGUCGACUCG